GUGCAAUGGCAUAAGCCAGCUUGACUGCGAGCGUGACGGCGCGAGCAGGUGCGAAAGCAGGUCAUAGUGAUCCGGUGGUUCUGAAUGGAAGGGCCAUCGCUCAACGGAUAAAAGGUACUCCGGGGAUAACAGGCUGAUACCGCCCAAGAGUUCAUAUCGACGGCGGUGUUUGGCACCUCGAUGUCGGCUCAUCACAUCCUGGGGCUGAAGUAGGUCCCAAGGGUAUGGCUGUUCGCCAUUUAAAGUGGUACGCGAGCUGGGUUUAGAACGUCGUGAGACAGUUCGGUCCCUAUCUGCCGUGGGCGCUGGAGAACUGAGGGGGGCUGCUCCUAGUACGAGAGGACCGGAGUGGACGCAUCACUGGUGUUCGGGUUGUCAUGCCAAUGGCACUGCCCGGUAGCUAAAUGCGGAAGAGAUAAGUGCUGAAAGCAUCUAAGCACGAAACUUGCCCCGAGAUGAGUUCUCCCUGAGACUUAAAGUCUCCU
rnacentral:rRNA from 1 species